GCCCCAGUUCGGAUUGCAGGCUGCAACCCGCCUGCAUGAAGCCGGAAUCGCUAGUAGUCGCGGAUCAGAAUGCCGCGGUGAAUACGUUCCCGGGUCUUGUACACACCGCCCGUCACACCAUGGGAGCCGGGAAUGCCCGAAGUCAGUGGCCCAACCGAAAGGGGGGAGCUGCCGAAGGCAGGCCUGGUGACUGGGGUGAAGUCGUAACAAGGUACC
rnacentral:rRNA from 1 species